rnacentral:rRNA from 1 species
AACGAACGCUGGCGGCAUGCCUAACACAUGCAAGUCGAACGAAGGCUUCGGCCUUAGUGGCGCACGGGUGAGUAACGCGUGGGAACCUGCCUAUUGGUGGGGAAUAACGACGGGAAACGGUCGCUAAUACCGCAUAAGCCCUUCGGGGGAAAGAUUUAUCGCCGAUAGAUGUGACCGCGUGCGAUUAGCUAGUUGGUGAGGUAAUGGCUCACCAAGGCGACGAUCGGUAGCUGUCUGAGAGGAUGAUCAGCCACACUGGGACUGAGACACGGCCCAGACUCCUACGGGAGGCAGCAGUGGGGAAUAUUGGACAAUGGGCGAAAGCCUGAUCCAGCAAUGCCGCGUGAGUGAUGAAGGCCUUAGGGUUGUAAAGCUCUUUCGGGUGGGACGAUGAUGACGGUACCACCAGAAGAAGCCCCGGCUAACUUCGUGCCAGCCGCCGCAGUAA